rnacentral:miRNA from 1 species
UGUUCUAUAAUGCCCUAGUAUCUUCUAGGGACAAACCUUUGUCCCUAGAAGAUACUAGGGCAUUAUAGA